ensembl:lncRNA
AAACAAUACUUCCCUCUACUGGAAGGCCCAGGAAUUCUGGAAUUUAAUCUGAAGUGUUCAAUUUUUCUGAGCUAUUUUCGUUUGACUGAGAAGAGAGACCACAGCAGCAUAGGAUAAAAAAGAAAGAGGGGAAUUAUAAUGGUGGAUUUUUUUGGUUAAAGCCUUGGCUUAAGGAAUUGGAGACCUCCUAUACUUCAUUUUUAAGUUAUAUUCAAUGUAUGAAUCAAUGGCUAGGAAGGCUUCAGAGCACGUGGAAAACUUUGCUUGUGGCUUCCGGAUCAUGUAAGAAGGUUGCUCCACUAGGCUGGAAGUGGUGAUUCCCACUAGAGUUAUGGGAGCCCCGAGAUUUCCAGUGUUUUUUUUUUUUUUAUAGUCAGGAUCAUACAAAGCAAGGUCAAGUAUUCCA